GACGAACGCUGGCGGCGUGCUUAACACAUGCAAGUCGAACGGAAAGGCCCUGCUUUUGUGGGUUGCUCGAGUGGCAAACGGGUGAGUAACACGUGAGUAACCUGCCCUUGACUUUGGGAUAACUUCAGGAAACUGGGGCUAAUACCGGAUAGGAGCUCCUGCUGCAUGGUGGGGGUUGGAAAGUUUCGGCGGUUGGGGAUGGACUCGCGGCUUAUCAGCUUGUUGGUGGGGUAGUGGCUUACCAAGGCUUUGACGGGUAGCCGGCCUGAGAGGGUGACCGGCCACAUUGGGACUGAGAUACGGCCCAGACUCCUACGGGAGGCAGCAGUGGGGAAUAUUGCACAAUGGGCGGAAGCCUGAUGCAGCAACGCCGCGUGCGGGAUGACGGCCUUCGGGUUGUAAACCGCUUUCGCCUGUGACGAAGCGUGAGUGACGGUAAUGGGUAAAGAAGCACCGGCUAACUACGUG
rnacentral:rRNA from 1 species